CACGAAGCGUAUUCAAUUAGGUCAGGACUAAUGCAAAUAUGUAGUGUCGACAUCAAAUUGCACCCGUCCCGGCCUGAUUGAGUGCGCGUAAAUC